UCUGUGUGGCCAUGAGUCUAGGUUCCUAAUGAAUGAGAUUAAGUGAAAGUAUUGAUGGGACUUCUAGGAAGACAGCUUAAAUAGAGCUCCUACCUAUCAAAUGCACUAUAAUUGUGCAACCAGAGCAGACUGUGUUAUGUUUAAUUUUUCCCUCUUCCUAAAAUAUUAUUUCCUUAAGUUACUUCAACGAUUAACAAACAAACAAACAAAAAACAAAGAAGGUUUGACUCUCUGCAUAUCUUUUAUGUUUGUCUCAAUCAUGGAGAGCUAUAAAAAAGGAGUGUGAUAUUGUAAUACAUAUAUUUGGUUUUCAACCCCAUUUCUUGACCUACAACUUCUAAAAAAGCCUUACAGUUUCCAAAGUGAUGGGUUUUGUAUGCUAGUGAGAUGACUGAUGGUGAGGGGCUGGUCACCAGAAAGACCAAGGCAUAAUUAGAGGGGUGGGACUUUUAGCCCCAGCCCCCAGCUUCCAGGGAGGGAAGAGGGGCUGAAAGUUAAGUUGCUCACCAAUGGCCAAAGGUGUAAUCAAUCGUGCUUGCAUAAUGGAGUUUCCAUAAAACCCCCAAAGAACUGAGUUUGGAGAACUUCUAGAUAGCUGAACACAUGAAGGUUCCCAGAGGGUGGCAAGCCUGGGGAGGGCAUGCAAGUUCUGUGUCCUUUCCUGUACCUCGUCCUAUGCAUCUCUUCAUCUCUUCAUCUGUAUCCUUUAUAAUAUACUUUUUUUUUUUUUAUAGACAAGAGUCUCACUGUGUCGCCCAGGCUGAAGUACAGUGGCACAAUCUCAGCUCACUGCAACCUCUGCCUCCUGGGUUCAAGUGAUUCUUCUGCCUCAGGCUCCCGAGUAGCUGGGAUAACAGGCAUGCACCACCAUGCCCAGCUAAUUUUGAACUUUUAGUAGAGACGGGGUUUCACCGUGUUACCUGGGUUAGUCUCGAACUCCCAACCUCAGGUGAUCUGCCCACCUCAGCCUCCCAAAGUCCUGGGAUUACAGGUGUGAGCCUAUUUUAAGAUUAUAGCAUAAUCUUGCUUACCAGGGAGCCAUUUUACCUCUUUACUAAGACUUUGAAUAACUAUACUUUGACCCACUGUGCAUUGAUCUCAAGGUUAAAAUCUGAAAGGGCAACUUUAAUUCCAUGGUUUCAUAGGGAGUCCUCUCACUGAGGCUCCAAAGUAUUGAAAGCAGCAAUAAGAGACAAGAUCCCUCUGGUAGAAGCUGCCUUCUUUCUGAAGGUUUUGCUGGUUGGCUCUCCAACUUCAGAAAGAGAGAAUGUCGCCAUCAGAUUUUUGCCUGUCUACCGAAAACAAAGGAUAACAAACACUGUUUCUGUAGCUACCAAAGAGACAGACUGCUUGGAGAACGACUUACAUAGCUCUGCAGACGCCCUGGUGGUGCCAGCUCCAGGGGAGUCGGUGCACAUGGUGUGAAGCAAUUUUUUUUUCCUGGCUUUUUGCCAUAGAUUCAGGCAGCUACAGCAACAGCAACAGCAGUGGUUCUUACUCACAUGCAGAGCUUCCAGAAUGCUUGGGAGUUUCCUGAAGAUAAAAACUUGUGAAAGAUAAAGGUAGAAGUUAUACAAGGUAGAGCAGCCAAGACUUAAAGGAGGACAGUUGCCCUCAGAACUUUUGAACCCCGGGUAACUGCCAAGCUUAAAGUCAAGGAAAGAAUGCUCACUGCCUGCAUGUGCUACAUGACACCUUGCACAGCAGAUCACAGAGAAAGAAUAGCAUGGACAAACUCCUCUCCUUCUGCAUCUUCACGGUACAAGGAAGAGGAAGAGGGUCCUGGGGGAACAGAGUUUUUCCAGCAUUAUGGAGCUGCCACAUUGGGAAAACAUAAUGAGAACUGAAGCCCCUGACUAUCAAGGCCAACUCUUUCCAACUCUUUUCAGCCACAUGGAAAGAAUCUCAGGUAAACCCAGAGCUCCCGGUACAUGGACACAGAACACUGGGUACACUCAAUUAUACCCACAGCCUCUUCCUAGAGUGUUCUCUAGAUGAUGCUAGGACAGACGGGUAGGGCAGAUCAGGGGAGUCUAACUACAGUUACUGAUUUUCUUCACUCAAGGCCAAC
rnacentral:lncRNA from 10 species